CACACAUAACAGGGGGGCUGGCGGGUGAGCCGGCUGAGAUAGCGCCUUUCGACGAAGACCCGGCGCUGACCCUUCGAACCUGUGGGGUAAUGCCCGCGGAGGGAGCAAUGCCAGAGAUCAC
rnacentral:ncRNA from 1 species